rnacentral:rRNA from 1 species
UACGUAGGGUGCGAGCGUUAAUCGGAAUUACUGGGCGUAAAGCGCGCGUAGGCGGCCAACUAAGUCGGACGUGAAAUCCCCAGGCUCAACCUGGGAACUGCGUCCGAUACUGGAUGGCUUGAAUCCGGGAGAGGGAUGCAGAAUUCCAGGUGUAGCGGUGAAAUGCGUAGAUAUCUGGAGGAAUACCGGUGGCGAAGGCGGCAUCCUGGACCGGCAUUGACGCUGAGGAGCGAAAGCCAGGGGAGCAAAGCGGGG